rnacentral:rRNA from 1 species
GGAUUAGAUACCCUGGUAGUCCACGCCGUAAACGAUGGUCACUAGCUGUUCGAUGUACAUUGGUACGUUGAGUGGCUAAGCGAAAGUGAUAAGUGACCCACCUGGGGAGUACGUUCGCAAGAAUGAAACUCAAAGGAACUGACGGGGGCCCGCACAAGCGGUGGAGCAUGUGGUUUAAUUCGAUGAUACGCGAGGAACCUUACCAGGGCUUAAAUGUUAGGUGACAGAUCUAGAAAUAGAUUUUUCUUCGGACACUUAACAAGGUGCUGCAUGGCUGUCGUCAGCUCGUGCCG